UAAGGAUUUAGCUUAAUUAAAGUGCCUGAUUUGCAUUUAGGUGAUGUAGGUUGAAUUUCUGCAGUCCUUAG
rnacentral:tRNA from 1 species